rnacentral:lncRNA from 1 species
UAAAACAUUGAUCUUUCAGUCUAUUGUCAAAAGAGAAACACCUAGAGUCAAUUGUUGAGUUUUCUUGAAUGAAUCGCCGAGCAGCAGCAGAACCGGGUUCCUUCAGUCUAUUGUCAACGGAGAAACUCUGAGAAUCAAAUAAUGAGCUUUCUUGAUUGAAUUGUCGAGCAGCAGAAACGGGUUCUUUCACUCUAUUGUCAAAGGAGAAACACUGAGAAUCGAUUCUUGCGUCUUCUUGAUUGAAUUGUCGACCAGCAGAACCAGGUUCCUUCAGUCUAUUGUCAAAUGAGAAACAUCGAGGUUGCGUGGCUAAGCUUUCUUGUCUGCAUCUAAGGUUAGGAGACUCUAGCUCCUUCUCCACCAAACGUGGACUCUUCAGUCUGUUGUCAAAUGAGAAACACCGAGUUUCAGGUGUUUUUGAAAAGUCUAGACGUUUUCCUCUGAGAGUAGAUUUAGGUGAACUCGAGCUCUGUUGUUUCGAUGUUGGUGGCGAUACAGAAGAUGUUUGUUGAUCAAAUGCUUUACGAUACAAAG